rnacentral:lncRNA from 1 species
CAAGUCAUACAUUUUUAAAACACUACCUGGCACUAACAAAUUUGCUUUUAUCUUCCAAAUAUUUCUUCUGCUGUGUUCUGACUGUAGGUGUAAGUGAAAGUUAAAAUCUAUAUAUGAUCUGAUCUUGCUUUUAUAAAUAUUGUCUUUGGUUAAUUGACAGUGUAUUUGGGGCAGUAAUAAUUCUUUAUUCUGUUUGAUGCCUAACACCACUGAAUCCUGCUUUGUCAUCAGGCUUCUAGAAGCUGCCACAUUAUUAAUAAGAAGAAAUAAUUUUAUGGGAAGAAAACUAUUUUGAAUAUGAAGUAAAUUCCUACUUGUGUGAAUAACCCAUCCUCUCAAUACUGCUUAUUUAAUUUCUGUUCAGAUCCUUAGAUCCUGAUUUUCUGCUAAGCUCUCUUUGCAAUUUUUUAAAAGUUGCCAUAGGUGUAGUUGUUUGUAGUUCAAAACAUGUUAAGGCUGACUGAACAGCUCUUUGUCUCCAAAAGUCUGUCACAGGAGGUGCCAUAGAAAAUUUUGGAGGUAGAAUUUUCAGAAACAGCAGAUCUUAUUUUGAGGAAGAUUUUGAAAAACGUACCAGCAUUUAAUGAGUGGAAAAUCUCACCAAAAUUCAGUCAGAUAUUGCUCUUUUAGCAAUGCUAAGAAAAAAUACCUCCUCAUGUAGCUAAACACGGCUGCUUUUUAAAAAGCAGCUGCUGCACAAUAUUCCUCUAGGGCCUGAUAGCACUGAGACCCAGUUUACCCAUGGGGAUACAUUUUAGAAAAUCAUGGCCCACCCUGGAUCAUAAGGAACACAGAUGUCAAUUAUCUUUGGAAGCUUUUGUGGAAUAUAAAUGGAAAUAAGAAGCUUGAGAGUGCAUCACCCAGCCACCAAAUGAUCAACAAUUAUUCCUGGUGGGAUAUGUCUUCACUGCAUCCAGCUAUCAGGAUCAAGACAAGUUUGCUGAUGAAAACGUGCAUGUACACAACUCCUGUGACUUGCAGUGCUCUCUUUCUCUCACCCUGCUCUACAGCUCUCCCCAGGAU